rnacentral:tRNA from 1 species
GGGCCAUUGGCGCAAUGGUAGCGCAUUUGAUUCCAGUCCAAAAGGUUAUCCGUUCAAGUCGGAUAUGGCUCG